rnacentral:lncRNA from 1 species
GCUUCUUUUGAAAUCCUUUCUCCUUCUUCUUCUCUGUCUUUCCUCCUUCUCUGUCUUUUCCUUCUUCUUGGUUCUGGCAUCAUGGCCAGAACUUCUCCUCGGGAAGCUCAGUCAGGGAAUCCGACCGAUGAUCUUCGAUCGACCCCGGAAGUGGAGGUCUCCUCACUUUCAGGGCCGAAUGUCGAUCGACUUCGGGAUCAGUAUUGUAUCCCGGAGCAGUUUCGACUCUUCGCCCCUAGGGC